rnacentral:rRNA from 1 species
AAUGGGGGAUAACGUAGCGAAAGUUACGCUAAUACCGCAUAUGCCCUGAGGGGGAAAGGAGGGGAUCGCAAGACCUUUCGCUUUCGGAGUGGCCGAUAUCGGAUUAGCUAGUAGGUGAGGUAAAGGCUCACCUAGGCGACGAUCCGUAGCUGGUCUGAGAGGACGACCAGCCACACUGGGACUGAGACACGGCCCAGACUCCUACGGGAGGCAGCAGUGGGGAAUUUUGGACAAUGGGCGCAAGCCUGAUCCAGCCAUGCCGCGUGAGUGAAGAAGGCCUUCGGGUUGUAAAGCUCUUUCGGACAGAAAGAAAUCCUAUCCGCUAAUACCGGGUGGGGAUGACGGUACUGUAAGAAGAAGCACCGGCUAACUACGUGCCAGCAGCCGCGGUAAUACGUAGGGUGCGAGCGUUAAUCGGAAUUACUGGGCGUAAAGCGUGCGCAGGCGGUUUGGUAAGACAGACGUGAAAUCCCCGGGCUUAACCUGGGAACUGCGUUUGUGACUGCCAGACUAGAGUGUAGCAGAGGGGGGUAGAAUUCCA